ACGGACGAGUCGAGUGAAAUUUAAGUUCUGGUGAUGUGAAAAAUACAGGUGAAGAUCGACACGAAGAAGAAGAAGACGAGUCGAAAAAGACCUUUCGUAUUUCCCUUGAUGAUGAUGACAU